ensembl:lncRNA MIR22HG MIR22 host gene
GUCACGACGCCGCCAGCUGAUCGGAGCCUGGAGCCGGUGUGUGCUGGGUGCCGAGAAGAGACAGCGCCGCCGGCCGUGGGGAGCGGACGCAGUGAUUUGCUCCCCCUCGUGCAGCAACCCCCACACCCAGCACCAGGCCCCCAGAACUCUCCUUCCAGCUGAACUCCCUGGGAACAAGUCAGUUGGGCUGAUCACUGAACUCACAUUUCUGGACCUGAGGAGCCUGUUCCUCUCACGCCCUCACCUGGCUGAGCCGCAGUAGUUCUUCAGUGGCAAGCUUUAUGUCCUGACCCAGCUAAAGCUGCCAGUUGAAGAACUGUUGCCCUCUGCCCCUGGCUUCGAGGAGGAGGAGGAGCUGCUUUCCCCAUCAUCUGGAAGGUGACAGAAAUGGGCUGGGAAGGUCCGAACAGCAGGGUGGAUGAUACGUUUUGGGCAAGUUGGAGAGCCUUUGCCCAGAUUGGCCCAGCAAGGAGCGGUUUUAGAUUAGAGACACUGGCUGGAUUGAGGAGUAGAAGGCUCAAACAACCCAAGCAUCUCCCUCCAGCCCUCGCUAUGUGCCUCUGCCAUCUUCACCCAUCAUGGAGCAGAGGUGAGGAGAGGCAGCCUGGGAAUAUGGAGACCAGUGAAGGACCAGGCCUGGAGAGCACAGGGUCCUACCUGGGCAUCCAGCAGAGGAGCCCCUAAAGGCCAGGAGCACCCCAAGAGGAGGGAGGGCAGCCAGCCUCCAUUGACGGCGAGCCUCCAGCCCUCUCCUACUUUGAUCACCAUUUCUCUCCAGGCUUUCUGCCUCCGAGAUGUGGCACCAUAGUGCGGUGCCCUGUGGCUUCACCGCCCUACUUCCACCUCCGCCCAGCCUGUAAUGUUUAUAUAAGCAGCCUCAAGGACCAAGAACCAUCUGCGAAAGGACACACACAGGAAAUUCAUAAAAGAAAUCUGAAUGGAUAAAACCAUGAAAAAAAGUAUGCUUCAUUAGUAAUUAAAGAAAGGCAAAUAGAGCUGGAAGCAUUUUUCCCUUAGCAAACCAUAACAGAAAAAAAUAAGACCCAAUAUUGGCAAAGAGACUACUGAAAAAACAUUCCCAUACAUUGCGUGUGGGAGUAUACAUCGGUGCAGGCUUCCUGGAUGACAGUUGGGUGAUAUGUGUCAUGUGGCCUAAAAGCCUCCAUGUCAUUUGACCUACGAAUUCUAUCUUUGGGAAUUUAUCCUAAGAAAAUACUUAAGGAUUUAGUUAGUGAUAAGAUGUUCAUCCCAGCAUUGCAAUGGAGAAAAAUGGGAAGCAAUGGUUUGGUUGGGAAUUUAUUCCUUUUCUGCUGUAACGAAAGUUUGCAAUAGGGGAUUGCUUAAGUAAAUUAUUGUAUCUCCAUCCAGAUGGUGGAGUACCGCGCAGACAUUAAAAGUCAUGUAAAAGAACAUCUGACUGAAAGAAAAAUGCUCCUUGAAUAUUAAAAGGUUGUAAAAAUAGUGCAUGUUAUGUGAUUUCAAUUUUGUUUUUUAAAAUAUGGGUGUAUGCUUGUAUACGUAGAGCAGAUAAAAAAGACGGAAGGCAUACUAAAAAAUGUUGAGUGGUUAUCUUUGUAUGGUGGAACAAAGUCACUGUAAUUUUCAUCUUUGGUUUUUCUGUAAUUUCCAAAUUUUCCACAUUUUGUAUUUCAUAUAAUAUAAUUUAAGAGA